rnacentral:lncRNA from 1 species
GCUCACUGCAACCUCUGCCUCCUAGGUUCAAGCCAUUCUCCUGCCUCAGCCUCCUGAGUAGCUGAAAUUAUAGGCACCCACCACCAUGCCCGGCUAAUUUUUUGUAUUUUUAGUAGAGACUGGGUUUCACCAUGUUGGCCAGACUGGUCUCAAACUCUUGACCUCAAGUGAUCCACCCACCUCGGCCUCCCAAAGUUCUGGGAUUACAGGCGUGAGCCACCACGCCUAGAUGCCAUCUCUACUUUCUAGCCACAAAGAUGCGUGCACUUUGAAGUCUCCUGCAAUUCACAUCCAUUUUAGGGCAUGUGUGAUAACUCUUUCUAUAAUAUAGACGCAUGCAAAGCCCUAGGUUACCAUCUGGGCAUAGAUGCUACCAAUUAUACAAAACAGUUCCAAAAGUAUGUUCCCUGGCCCUGCUGGAGCCACGUUUGUUUCCCAAGUCCCCCAACAGGCCUCAGCUGCAUGGCAGUCACUGCCCCCUGGCCAGGGUACACCCCCUCGGGUUUCUCAGUUUGCUGCUUGUCUUGCUGAUCUUCUGACAGUCAUACCCGUCACACUGUAGUCUGCGGUCAUUGUGGGGAUGCCUCUUUUGUGCAUUUUAGCACUAGCAAAUUCAGUGGUACACCUGUGGCAAAGAUAGAGAAGGGGAGAGAAGAGGAAUACCAGUAGGACCUCAAAACUUAGUAAGUAAAAUUUAGUAAUCACAGGUCUGGGCUGGGUGCGGUAGCUUAUGCCCGUAAUCCCAGCACUUUGGGAGGCCAAGGUGGGUGGAUCACUUGAGGCCAGGAGUUCGAGACCAGCCUGGCCAACAUGAUGAAACCCCAUCUCUACUAAAAAUACAAAAAUUAGCCAGGUGUGGUGGUGUGCGCCUGUAAUCCCAGCUGCUCAGGAGGCUGAGGCAAGAGAAUUGCCUGAACCUGUGAGGUGAAUAAUAAUAAUAAUAAUAAAGUAAAUGAAGGAGAAGUGAGCAUUCAAAAUUAGCAUGAAGUCGCUUGUCUAAGAUCACCCAGCAGGGGCGGGCUUGGUGGUUCACGCCUAUAAUCCCAGCACUUUGGAAGGCCAAGGCGGGCAGAUCAUGUGAGGUCAGGAGUUCGAGACCAGCCUGGCCAACAUGGUGAAACCCUGCCUCUACUAAAAAUACAAAAUUAGCCCGGUGUG